rnacentral:rRNA from 1 species
CACGUAGGGGGCAAGCGUUGUCCGGAUUUAUUGGGCGUAAAGAGCUCGUAGGCGGUUUGUCGCGUCUGCUGUGAAAACUCAGGGCUUAACCCUGAGCCUGCAGUGGGUACGGGCAGACUAGAGUGUGGUAGGGGAGAUCGGAAUUCCUGGUGUAGCGGUGGAAUGCGCAGAUAUCAGGAGGAACACCGGUGGCGAAGGCGGAUCUCUGGGCCAUAACUGACGCUGAGGAGCGAAAGCAUGGGGAGCGAACAGG